UACGGAGGGUGCAAGCGUUGCUCGGAAUUAUUGGGCGUAAAGGGUAGGUAGGUGGUCUCGUUUGUCAGGGGUGAAAGCCUUGGGCUUAACUCAAGAAGUGCCCCUGAAACGGCGAGACUGGAGUGCUGGAGAGGCUAGUGGAAUUCCCGGUGUAGCGGUGAAAUGCGUAGAGAUCGGGAGGAACACCUGAGGCGAAGGCGGCUAGCUGGACAGCGACUGACACUGAACUACGAAAGCGUGGGGAGCAAACAGG
rnacentral:rRNA from 1 species